rnacentral:rRNA from 1 species
UACGUAGGGGGCAAGCGUUGUCCGGAAUCAUUGGGCGUAAAGAGCGUGUAGGCGGCCCGGUAAGUCCGCUGUGAAAGUCGGGGGCUCAACCCUCGAAUGCCGGUGGAUACUGUCGGGCUAGAGUGCGGAAGAGGCGAGUGGAAUUCCUGGUGUAGCGGUGAAAUGCGUAGAUAUCAGGAGGAACACCUGUGGCGAAAGCGGCUCACUGGACCAUAACUGACGCUGAUGCACGAAAGCUAGGGGAGCAAACAGG